UUGGGGUGGGGAAUUUUUACUUUUAGCAUUUUCCUUAUGAACAGUGCUAGGUCGGAUUUGCCCCUGCCAUAAUUGUUUUUUGUUCUUGCUGAAUGUUUCCCUUCCCUUUUUGCCCUCUUCAUUUUUUUUUGUUUUGCUUUUUUUUCACUUUUUCUGAUUGCUCAGAACUCUUUAAUCUCUCUCCUCUUAUAUUUUACGCUUUUCAUUCUCCUCAUUAUUUAGUUGUUUCAAGGUUUACUCAAAGUAUAUGAUCGCCCAUUCACGGCCAGUGGAGAUGAAUUACUAUGCAAUCAGAGGCAGAUUGUUCAUUGGAGAGGGUGGCGGCUGUUAUCGAAAGCUUCGUUUUUGGUGUUGAUGCUGGUGUUAAGCUUGUGCUCGAUGUCGGCGCUUUCUAUCUCCUCUUAGGGCAAGCAAUAGUAAGGUGUUUGGAAGGGUGCUAUAAUGGAAUUUCAAGAAGGUUACAGCUUUGGUGAAAUGUCUUUGUAAGUGGUGCUCUUUCUCUUUGACUUUAAAGAAAUCAUUUUGCUUGGAUUGUUAGAUGUAUAGUUUUCAUUUAUUGUGUUUAGUUAGUAUAAAGUCUGCCAUUGUCUAAAAUUUGAUUGUAAUAGAUUGAAUACUGUCACUAAUGCAGUAUUGUUGUUCUAUUUCUUCGUCUUUAGAGAUUUCAUUCUCAUUAUGCUUGAAUUGCUAGAUAUAUAAUUUUCAUUAGGGUGUAAUUGUAUAGUAAUGGGCCUGUGAUGUAAUUAUCAGGAAAAAAAAGUGUUUCUAAGGUUAGUGUUAGUUUCAGUUUAGCGGUAGUCAUAACAACUUCCUUUCGAUUCAAAAACUAUGUUUAGCUCAUAAUGGUUGUUGUAUAUGUGUAGGCUGUCAAAAUGUGAAUGAGAUUAUUGGCCCUGCUUUGUUUGGCAAGAAAAACAGCUGUUGGUGAAUCUCAACCAUUUCCCGUUUGUUUCCCCCUAAUUUUUCUUCUCACUUUGGCUUCCAUUUUCUGUUGCCAUUGUUGCCAACACCUCAAUCGUCUACUGCCACAACCUCUCAGGUUUCAUCUUCCCCUUACGGCUUGCUGAGCGUGCUCCAAGUAUUCCAUUGAAGGGUGAUCUGAGAAUUCUCUCCUCCAUUGAAGAAAGCUAGCUAAGUUUGAUUUCCUUCUCCAUCGUUGCCGGAAAUGAGCCAUCCGACGCUGCACCCAGUGGAAGCGCCGCCGCUAUGCUUAACUCUCAGAAGAAUGGGGAGAAAUACAGCUUGGAUCUUUUCGUGUUAUGUCUACCACCAGUGAUUUUCCCUCCGUCACUGCUUUUCGCGAUGUAGAAUUCUACCACCACCACAACCUACGCCGCCUCAAUUAGCGAUAGUUGCAGAACACUGAACACACCACCACAUCCAUGGAUUACGGCUAGCCUAUCUCAAACGGAUCGAGGAACUUCAACACCUUAAACUCCUGACCAUGUUCUCAAGGUUUGCAAACUCUAAUCCACUAUCAAUGAUUUAAUUGUUUUCUUGCUGUGGUUGAAUUGUUAGCAAUUGUUUGGUUUGAUUCGUGAUUACAACUUUCCAAUUAUCAAGGUAAUUUUCUCUAAAUCUCUACUAUUGCAUGUUUGAAAUGGUUUAUUUUUUUUUGGCGGGCUGCUAAUAGUUCUUUCUUCUUUGCAUAAUUUGUGUGUUGAUCUAUGUCUCUUUGAUCUGUUUGAUUUUGUUUUUGAGUUGUAAAUUCAGUUUUAGGAAUCGGAUAAUCUCAGAGAAGCUUUCAAGUACUCUGCUCAAAUGCUUACGUGUGUGUGCUUCUCCAAUCGAUUCUGGGAAGUGCUUGAAUAUGUAAAAUGAUUGGGCUUAUGUCCUACAGUCCUACUCCACCCUGUGCCAAGUGAUUUUGGGAGGUCCCUGGAAGAAGAAAUGCCUUGCCAAUUUUGGUAUUGUUACACAUUGUAUGGCUCCUGCCAGGUUAUUAAUCUGACAGACAAGUUGCUUUGUCUGAAGUAGAAAUUCAUGGAGGAGGAUCAAUCUGAAUGACUGAACCACCCAACAAACAUAUGCAGCAUCAAAAACAAUCUAAGAUAGCCAAUUAUUGAAUCUGGUUUGAGAGUGAGGAUUACCUAGCAUCAAUCUUUCGCUGCACAUAGGAAGAUUUGACAUCUGUCAAGAUGUUAGCCAUUCUUCCCUUGGCAAGCUCUGUCGAGGCAUGAAUUUUCUAUCUUGGAGGUAAGAGAGAUGCUGGGAUGAAGUCUGAUCCUGCAAGGUGGAAGCUGAGGAAGAAUUCUAUGAAGACAUACCAUGUCAUUUAACGGAUUGGACUGACUGUAUUUGUUUUAUUUUAUGUAUCAUAAUCUGUAAUCUUUUGCAAAAUUUCAAUUGUUUUUAGGGAAUAAGUGUCAACAACUUAUCCAUUGCUUAUGUAGGAGGCUCAAUUUUACUGGUUUUAAGCUUUAAACUAUUAUGAUUGAGCUAGCAGUUCAACUGAAGUUUGUUUAUUAGAAGCAGUGCAGAUUGCUAAACUUUGAGCAUUAUUUUAGCACAUAUAUUAACUUCCUUUGUUUUAAUGGCUCUCAAAAUUAUGUCAAAAGAAUUUUUUUACUGGGGUUCCACCUAUUUUGAUACAUGUAUGGAAUAACUUUGUAA